AUUGAACGCUGGCGGCAUGCUUUACACAUGCAAGUCGGACGGCAGCGGGGUAGUGCUUGCACUACUGCCGGCGAGUGGCGAACGGGUGAGUAAUAUAUUGGAACGUACCGAGUAAUGGGGGAUAACCAAUCGAAAGAUUGGCUAAUACCGCAUACGCUCUGAGGAGGAAAGCAGGGGACCUUCGGGCCUUGCGUUAUUCGAGCGGCCAAUAUCUGAUUAGCUAGUUGGUGGGGUAAGGGCCUACCAAGGCGACGAUCAGUAGCGGGUCUGAGAGGAUGAUCCGCCACACUGGGACUGAGACACGGCCCAGACUCCUACGGGAGGCAGCAGUGGGGAAUUUUGGACAAUGGGCGAAAGCCUGAUCCAGCCAUGCCGCGUGUCUGAAGAAGGCCUUCGGGUUGUAAAGGACUUUUGUUAGGGAAGAAAAAGGAGCGGUUAAUACCCGUUUCUGCUGACGGUACCUAAAGAAUAAGCACCGGCUAACUACGUG
rnacentral:rRNA from 1 species